UUUUGAACCAUUUCCCAACAGAUUUUAAAUGUUGGGGAAUGGCAUGGAAUGAAUUCCAGCAAUGGAAUACUUGGGAACUGUGCUUAACCUAUUUGGAGAUUCAGAAAUUGAUUGUUUCAUAAUUUGUCUGUUUGUUUUGUCUAUUGCUGGAAAUGUUCACGGAAUAGAGAGUGGAGAAAGGGCUCACUCAUUCGUGACUUGAGAAGCCAGACAACAGGCUCACAGACUUGCUCUAUAAACAUGUGGGAGAAAGAGCUGGCAGAAAGGAGCCUCACUGUCUGUUCCUGAAGAUCCCAGGGCAUAGGACGGCAGAAGUUGUUACAGAGGUAUUGGCUUAGGCAGGCAAGGAGAGCAACCAAGUAGGCAAGAGCUGAGAGCUAAGCUGGGGUCCUGACUUGUCACCCAGGGUUAGGCGAGAGAGGAAGUCACAACUAUGGAGCCAAGUCAGUGCUGGGAGGGCAGGCAGGCAGGAAUGGCUGC
rnacentral:lncRNA from 1 species